rnacentral:rRNA from 1 species
UUUACUCGGUUUUGGGUUCGGUUGGGCUCCGUGUUUCGAGACGUUGGUCUUCGGUUUUGGCUUGGCUCCUUCGUCGACGUGUUGUUUGGCGUCUGACUCUGUGGCAGCGUUCUCUUGCUCUCUUACCGCCGGUAGAGGAGGUGGAGGAUGAAGAGGAGCGUCGGCGUCGACGGCCGCAGGCCUCCGUCGUCGUUGCCGGCCGUCGGCGCCUCCGCAGCCCACCCGUCGACGCAGUACGAGCUCCGCCGGCGACGGAGACCAUCACCACCGCCGCCGCGCCACCACCCCUCCUGCUCCUCGGACUGCCUCCUCCUGGACCUCCUCGAGUUCCCGACGGAGCUAGAGCCGAAGCCGAAGAGGAUGCUGCUCUAGGGCCCGGAGACGCCCUGCGAGGGGCCAAACCUCGAGACGAUGAGGUACUGCGCCGCCAAGGAGCUGCUCGUCUCCCGCCACCAGCCCGUCGACCUCGGGCGACGCCGCCGCCGCCGCGGGUAGGGCCUGACCUUCUAGAGGCCGGGACCACUAUUAGGUCUCCUUCACUUUCGAUCCGAGUUCAUAACCCGAGUCUGUCACCGUACGUGCCAGUUUGAUACGUCGACUACCUCCAACCAUCACACGACCAAGAGAGAAUUGUAUAUACGAUGAUGUUCGACUUAACCUCCACCGACUUCAACUUCUUGCUACGAAUAUACCAUAACCCGAACCACCCGUUCACGUCUCCUCCACGAAGACGAAGCACAAUAGCUACGCUGUCUUGACUGGUGACGAAAACGUUUUGAAACCUCCCCCUCUCCUAACGACUGUUGUACCUUGACUCUUUAGCGCUCCGCCAGGCGUCAGCUCGAAAAGACUUUCGUAGUCUUCGAGCGGUCAGGAGAACCCACAGAACAGAGAUGUACCGCGUCGCAAACGUUCACGGACUCUGGAGACGAAUAAAGACGGGAAGGAACAUCACGAGUCCACGAGGCCAACGUGGCAGGACGUGGCCGAACUCGAAAAGUUUAGGAACCCACCUAAACAAGUUAAUAUUGAAACAAAAUAACGAGGAAAGUCGAAUCUAAACGAAACCUCGUCAUCUGGAACAUAUCCUGAACGUACAUGUAUAGACAACUAAGACGACAUGACGUGAGCCUCCCACGUCUUUGUCAAAGACUUUAUUUAAAGACGCAGGUCGGAUUGUCGUUUGACCCCGACGACUUUAACACUUACAAUAUACCAC